AGAGAGGUCAGCGUCACAAUGAGAAGGGAGGAGACCGAUCUUCCGGGAACAGAGGCCGCCUCAGGACUGGGCGAGGGGUGCGGUGGGGGGAGGGACAGUGACAUGCAGCACAGAUGUGCGGUGGAGGGAAGGUGCCGCCUCGCCAGCCGCCGCCAGGGUGAGUGAGAGUGGGGGCAGAUCGCCGUGGAGGGAUCUCCGCGUGGCGCCGGGACACCUGGUUCCUGAUGGAAGGAUCCUAAGUCCAUUCAAGGGUCGGAGGACCAUGGCCAUCCACAAAGGGAAGGUGCUAACGGUCCUGGGGCUUCGAUCUCUCCCGGAGCCGCGGCGUGCAGACCGGUGACCGCCUGUGAAAGGCGUGUCCCCUGGCAGAGACCUCCGUACCAGGAAUCAAACUCGGGACUUUAUUCUUGCCAGGCAGGUGCAGCACCACUGAGCUAAAUCCCCAGCCCACCACUGGAUUUUCUACAGACAAUCCUGUUGUCUGCCAAUAAAGUUUUACUUCUUGUUUUCCAAUAUGUAUUUUAUG
ensembl:lncRNA